rnacentral:rRNA from 1 species
UACGUAGGUGGCAAGCGUUGUCCGGAUUUAUUGGGCGUAAAGCGAGCGCAGGCGGAAUUGCAAGUCUGAUGUGAAAAUCCGGGGCCCAACCCCGGAACUGCAUUGGAAACUGUAUUUCUAGAGUGUCGGAGAGGCAAGUGGAAUUCCUGGUGUAGCGGUGAAAUGCGUAGAUAUCAGGAGGAACACCAGUGGCGAAGGCGGCUUGCUGGAUCGUGACUGACGUUGAGGCUCGAAAGCGUGGGGAGCAAACAGG